rnacentral:rRNA from 1 species
GGGUGAGUAACACGUGGGUAACCUGCCCUUACCUAUGGGAUAACAUUUGGAAACAGAUGCUAAUACCGUAUAAACCUCAGGAACACAUGUUUCUGAGUUGAAAGGCGGCUUUCGAGCUGUCGCUUUUGGAUGGACCCGCGGCGUAUUAGCUAGUUGGUGAGGUAAAGGCUCACCAAGGCAGUGAUACGUAGCCGACCUGAGAGGGUGAUCGGCCACAUUGGGACUGAGACACGGCCCAAACUCCUACGGGAGGCAGCAGUAGGGAAUCUUCCACAAUGGACGAAAGUCUGAUGGAGCAACGCCGCGUGAGUGAAGAAGGUUUUCGGAUCGUAAAACUCUGUUGUUGGAGAAGAACACGUUUGAGAGUAACUGUUCAGACGUUGACGGUAUCCAACCAGAAAGCCACGGCUAACUACGUGCCAGCAGCCGCGGUAAUACGUAGGUGGCAAGCGUUAUCCGGAUUUAUUGGGCGUAAAGCGAGCGCAGGCGGUUUCUUAAGUCUGAUGUGAAAGCCUUCGGCUUAACCGAAGAAGUGCAUCGGAAACUGGGAAACUUGAGUGCAGAAGAGGACAGUGGAACUCCAUGUGUAGCGGUGAAAUGCGUAGAUAUAUGGAAGAACACCAGUGGCGAAGGCGGCUGUCUGGUCUGUAACUGACGCUGAGGCUCGAAAGCAUGGGUAGCGAACAGGAUUAGAUACCCUGGUAGUCCAUGCCGUAAACGAUGAAUGCUAGG